rnacentral:rRNA from 1 species
UUAGAGUUUGAUCCUGGCUCAGGAUGAACGCUAGCGGCAGGCUUAACACAUGCAAGUCGAGGGGCAGCGAGAUCAGUGCUUGCACUGAUUGUCGGCGACCGGCGCACGGGUGCGUAACGCGUAUGCAACCUACCCAUUACAGGGGGAUAACACUGAGAAAUCGGUACUAAUACCCCCAUAACAUCCAGGGAGGCAUCUUCUUGGGUUGAAAACUCCGGUGGUAAUGGAUGGGCAUGCGUUGUAUUAGUUAGUUGGUGGGGUAACGGCUCACCAAGACAACGAUACAUAGGGGGACUGAGAGGUUAACCCCCCACAUUGGUACUGAGGCACGGACCAAACUCCUACGGGAGGCAGCAGUGAGGAAUAUUGGUCAAUGGACGCAAGUCUGAACCAGCCAUGCCGCGUGCAGGAAGACGGCUCUAUGAGUUGUAAACUGCUUUUGUACGAGGGUAAACGCAGAUACGCGUAUCUGUCUGAAAGUAUCGUACGAAUAAGGAUCGGCUAACUCCGUGCCAGCAGCCGCGGUAAUACGGAGGAUUCAAGCGUUAUCCGGAUUUAUUGGGUUUAAAGGGUGCGUAGGCGGUCGGAUAAGUUAGAGGUGAAAUCCCGGGGCUCAACUUCGGAAUUGCCUCUGAUACUGUUCGGCUAGAGAGUAGUUGCGGUAGGCGGAAUGUAUGGUGUAGCGGUGAAAUGCUUAGAGAUCAUACAGAACACCGAUUGCGAAGGCAGCUUACCAAGCUACUUCUGACGUUGAGGCACGAAAGCGUGGGGAGCAAACAGGAUUAGAUACCCUGGUAGUCCACGCAGUAAACGAUGAUAACUCGUUGUCGGCGAUACAGUGUCGGUGACUAAGCGAAAGCGAUAAGUUAUCCACCUGGGGAGUACGUUCGCAAGAAUGAAACUCAAAGGAAUUGACGGGGGCCCGCACAAGCGGAGGAACAUGUGGUUUAAUUCGAUGAUACGCGAGGAACCUUACCCGGGCUUGAAAGUUAGUGACGGAUCUUGAAAGAGGUCUUCCCUUCGGGGCACGAAACUAGGUGCUGCAUGGUUGUCGUCAGCUCGUGCCGUGAGGUGUCGGGUUAAGUCCCAUAACGAGCGCAACCCCUACCGUUAGUUGCCAGCAGGUCAAGCUGGGCACUCUGACGGGACUGCCGGUGUAAGCCGAGAGGAAGGUGGGGAUGACGUCAAAUCAGCACGGCCCUUACGUCCGGGGCUACACACGUGUUACAAUGGCAGGUACAGAGGGCAGCUACCCAGCGAUGGGAUGCGAAUCUCGAAAGCCUGUCUCAGUUCGGAUUGGAGGCUGAAACCCGCCUCCAUGAAGUUGGAUUCGCUAGUAAUCGCGCAUCAGCCAUGGCGCGGUGAAUACGUUCCCGGGCCUUGCACACACCGCCCGUCA